CCUACAGGGAAGAGCUUUAUAUUGUGAGAAUCACAAGACCCAGACCUACAUUUUAAUGCAUAGUAUGUCUCUGAAGUAUUAAAAAUGAAGGCACAGUCGCAGUUUAGAAAUUGCACUUCAAAUUUGAGCUUUGUAGAGUGAAGUUUCAAUGAAUGUCAAUGGACGGCGUUAGUUGUAAACAAAUGAUUAUAUUGUGAAAACUAUCAGGACUAUGGCUUAGCCGUUGACAUGUUUAGUGGCAGCAGGGAUAGCUGAACGUUUUGAUAUAAGAUUUGUGUAGGUGGGCCUGAAAAUAAGGGAGUGGUGGCAGUUUAGAAAUCAUGUCCUGAUUUUUCAGCUUUUGCCAGCUCCCACUCUAGCUUUGCCAUUCAUUCCUAUGGGACAAAUUUCGCCACAAGAACGACGAUAUUCCGUGAACCAUUCGGCGAAACGUUCCACAAAGUAAUAGCA